GUAAAGGAAGGGUCUGGGGUCACGCUGCCUUCUUCGGGUCUUGUCUGCCCUGCCUGCCUCAGGAGUCAAACACUCUGCGGGAGCACUCCUAAGACCAAGUUGGUUCCCCCACUUGUCCUAAGUCAGAGGCUGACUUUCAGAUCGCAUGAACACAUUCCUGGACACCAGCCACAGCUACAAAAACUAAAUGGGAUCCUGCAGACCCAUUGAUGGACUCUCAACCAACUCAAUCACAGUCAAGAAGCACUGGCACACUCACCGCCUAUGGCGCUAGAAGACUGGUAUCGAAGAAACUAAAUUGUAAUUUGAAGUGUGCACAGUAGGCUAGCUUGCAGUGGCUGCUGAACUUAAAGGUGAUUAAGAGCUGCUUGUGCCUGGGUGGAGAGCUGAGACUGCACAAGGUGAGUAAUACCUCUGCACAACAGAAGGAAAAAAAAGUAAAAGCACACAUAAAAACGCAAAGGGUAAACUGAAGUUACUUCUCAGAAGUUCUUCCUAGUGUUCUUGACUAAGCAUCGAAGAAGUAAUCCCAGCAGUAUGAGAGGGCAAGGCAGAAGGAUCCUUUGAGGCCAGGAGUUGGAGACCAGCCUGAGCAACAUAAUGAGACUUCAUCUCUACAAAUAAUUUUUUUUAAAAAAAUUAGCCAGGCAGGGUUGCCAUUUGGCCUGGGCGUUAGGAGGAACAGGAGCUUCCUCCUUAUCUUUUGGUGUCACCUGUGGUCCCAGCUCCUCUAUUAAGGCUGGGAGAUCAAGGUCUCAGUGAACUCUGAUCACACCACUACACUCCAGCCUGGGCAACAGAGCAAGACCUCAUUUC